CAGGCGUAUAAGGUAGGCUUCCACUACAAUGCCUUACUGACGAGUCCAGUAGUGGAAACUAGGACGGACGAAACGCCAU
rnacentral:hammerhead_ribozyme from 15 species